GGGGGAGCACCACAAGGGGUGAAGCUUGCUGAGUUUAAUUGGAGUCAACGCCGGAAAUCCUCACCGGGAGCGACAGCAGUGUGAAGGCCAGAUUAAAGGUCUUGCCAGACGAGCUGAGAGGAGGUGCAUGGCCGUCGCCAGUUCGUGCCGUGAGGUGUCCUGUUAAGUCAGGCAACGAUCGAGACCCGCGUCCUCUGUUGCUACUAGCCUUGUGCUGGGCACACUGAGGAGACCGCCACUGAUAAAGUGGAGGAAGGAGCGGGCCACGGCAGGUCAGUAUGCCCCGAAUCUCCCGGGCCACACGCGAGCUGCAAUGGCAGGUACAAUGAGUUCCGACCUCGAAAGGGGGAGGCAAUCUCGAAAGCCUGCCGUAGUUGGGAUCGAAGGCUGCAACCCGCCUUCGUGAACAUGGAAUCCCUAGUAAUCGCGUGUCAUCAGCGCGCGGUGAAUACGUCCCUGCUCCUUGCACAC
rnacentral:rRNA from 1 species